GUUGCUGCCUAUUUAGGUGGUCAACGCCUAAAGAACUUUGCUCAAAGGUCGGCCGAUGGCACAAAAGGAGGAAUCUUGCUUCUCUAGGAUGAAACUGUUCUUUCGGUCAAUGAUGUUCAAAUUUGCGCCUACUUCCUCUCGGCAACUAUGGCUCUCAGAAACUCUUCCGACCCAAAAACAUUCAAGCUUACUACGGUCUACGGUCCUAACCACAGCAACCACAAAGAUGUUUUCUUCCUUGAUUUAACAUCUCAAAAGCCACCUCCAGGCACUAAAUGGCUCUCUAAUGGCGAUUUCAACCAAAUUUACCGUGCUUGUGACAAGAACCAUGCCAAUGUCGACUGCAGUCGGCUUGUUUGUUUCCGCAACACUCUCAAUGCUUGUGAGCUCAAGGAGAUCCAUCUCCAAAACAGAAAAUUCACUUGGAGCAAUGAACAAAGUAAUCCAACUCUUUGUAAGCCAGAUAGCUUCUUUUGCAAUGAAUAUUGGGACACUGAAUUCAUGAAUCACAUACUCCAUGCCCUCUCCUCGUCGCUCUCUGAUCACUGCCCCCUGUUGCUUGCCAACAAUUCUGGACCAAAGAGGCCAAACACCUUCCGCUUUGAGAACCAUUGGAUCAAAAUGCCAGGUUUCCAAAAUGUGGUGAGUGUGUCCUGGAACGAGGAAUCUGCUCAUGUUGAGCCUUUCCAAAGACCCUUCCACAAGCUCAAGAGAACAAGCAGACUUCGCAAAUGGAGUAAAACCCUUUUUGCAAAAUACAAAGUUCAAUUACAUAUGGCCCUGGAGGUUAUUCUUCACCUUGACUUGGCUCAAGAGCAAACGGUGCUCUCUCCAACUGAGCGAGAUCUUCGGAAAAGGCUUAAGAGAAAGGUCAUUGGUUUGGCUAUGCUUGAAAAGGCGCGCAAACGUCAGAAUUCCAGAAUUACAAAUCUGAAAAAAGGAGGUGCCAACACUCGAUAUUUUCACCUAUGGGUCAAUCAUCGAAGGAGGAAAAACAUUACGCACCGCCUCAAACACAACAACGGCUGGGUUACUGAGCAAGACCAGAAAGAAAGUAUUGUGCAUCAACAUUUCACUAACAACGCUAAGAAAGGCCCCCCGUCCAGCAUAGACAUCAACUAG
rnacentral:rRNA from 1 species